rnacentral:rRNA from 1 species
CAAGGCGACGAUCCCUAGCUGGUCUGAGAGGAUGACCAGCCACACUGGAACUGAGACACGGUCCAGACUCCUACGGGAGGCAGCAGUGGGGAAUAUUGCACAAUGGGCGCAAGCCUGAUGCAGCCAUGCCGCGUGUAUGAAGAAGGCCUUCGGGUUGUAAAGUACUUUCAGCGGGGAGGAAGGUGUUGUGGUUAAUAACCGCAGCAAUUGACGUUACCCGCAGAAGAAGCACCGGCUAACUCCGUGCCAGCAGCCGCGGUAAUACGGAGGGUGCAAGCGUUAAUCGGAAUUACUGGGCGUAAAGCGCACGCAGGCGGUCUGUCAAGUCGGAUG